CCCGUGGUCUAGUCUCUUCUUAAAAACCUCCUCUUUGGAAUGCAUACUCUGGGCUGAGCUUCAACUCAAGUGAGCUGGGGAUGACGUUACCUUUCCCUUCCCCUCCCACGCUGUACUCAGUCCAACUUCUCUGCCAGCAGACCCCGGCGCAGAUCAAUAUGUCUCAACCUUGGCGACCUUAAAGAUGCGCUGGCUGAGGAAUUCUGGGAGUUGAAGUAUGCACAACUUAAAGCUGUCAAGGUUAAGAAAUAGUGAAGUAAACUAGAGCGCUACAAAUCUUAGUUCUGUGUUAUAAUUGGGCCGAGCUUGUAUCCUCCGUAUGUCUUCUCCUUCAACUCCGGUCGACAUUUAUCCAGUGCGAACGAUGAUGACGGAUCGCGCAACUCGGCUUUGGGAAAAGAGGUCUGGACCUCAGAUGAACACCAUUUUGAAGAUUUAGAAAUUUAGCUUUGCUACCUAGGCUUAUCAUUGGUUACAAGGUCAUUUUCUAAUUUUUCAAGAUAAAAGAGUUUUGGUCCUAG